GCUGACACAUUCUAGCCAAUCAGCAGCAGACCCUCCCUCCCAGACCCUCCCACCUCCUGGACAGCUCACUAAGAAUGCAGCUUCACAAUGAAUGUAAAAUGGAUGCUGUCCAGGAGGUGGGAGGGUCUGGGAGGGAGGGUCUGCUGCUGAUUGGCUGGAAUGUGUCUG